rnacentral:misc_RNA from 1 species
AAGAUAUCUAUAAUGCAAUAUUAGGAAAAUAAAAGCACGGAUAUGGCAAACUGGAGUUGAGGCCAAGGUACUCCUCGCCCUACCUCCCAUCCAACUGCCCCAAAAAGGAAAGGGAAAAACUAUUGUAAUUUGUACGAAAUGCUGAGGUAAGCAUACACCUCACUAUGCUUUGAUAACCUUCUCUCUGUUUAAUCAGCUCUAUGUUGAUCUUAAU